rnacentral:tRNA from 1 species
CGGUCCGUAGCUCAGUAGGUAGAGCACGUGACUCUUAAUCAUGGGGUCGGGAGUUCGAUCCUCCCCGGACCGAC